AUGCCUGAGCCCGACCGCAACUCCCUCAGCGCCGGCCGCGGGCUCCACCGCGACGGGCGCAAGGGCUGGCCCGACCUCUGGCUGCUCCCGGGGAAGCCGCCGCACUCGCCCGCCGCGGCCAUGGCCCCGCCGACCCCGCCGCCGGACCGCGCACCCGACCAAACCCUAGCCUUCUCCGACGAGCUCCUCCUCCGCGUCCUCGCUUACCUCCCGGAGCCCCACCUCACGGCCUCCGCCUCGCUCGUCUGCAAGAGGUGGACGCGCCUCUCCGGCCGCCUGCGCCGCCGCCUCGCGGUGCGGGACUGGGCCUUCGUCACGCACCGACUCCCCUACCGCUUCCCCGACCUGGCGGUCCUCGACCUGUUCCCGGCCUCCAUAGCCGCCCCGGCCGCGCCGUCUCGGGCCUCCCCCGUCCUCACCUGCGGCGCGGUCUCGCUAACCCUAGACCUCGCCGCGGACCCGCCGCUCGGCGCUUGCCGGUUCCUCGCCGACGAUGUGCUCGACAGGGGCCUCGCCGUCGUUGCCGCCAGGUUCCCUAACCUCCGGCGCUUAUCGGCCACAGCAGCGUCCGAGUCCGCCGGCCUCAUGGAUAUCGCCGGAGGCUGCGCCACGCUGCAAGAGCUUGAGCUCCACCGGUGUACUGACCUCGCGCUCCGCCCGGUCUCUGCCUUUGCGCACCUCCAGAUCCUCCGCAUUGUUGCCGCCUCCUCGCCGCUGUAUGGCACGAGUGAAGAUGGCGGGGUAACUGACAUCGGCCUCACCAUCCUCGCCCAUGGCUGCAAACGGUUGGUUAAGCUGGAGCUUGUGGGUUGCGAGGGCAGUUAUGAUGGCAUUGCAGCUGUUGGGCGGUGCUGUGCGAUGCUGGAGGAGCUCACCAUUGCUGAGCACAGGAUGGACGGCGGGUGGCUUGCUGCUCUAGCUUUCUGUGGCAACCUCAAGACCCUGCGGCUUCAGGGGUGUGCCAGGAUUGAUGAUGAUCCUGGGCCUGCUGAACAUCUUGGCGCCUGCCUCACGCUCGAGAGCCUGCAAUUGCAUCGGUGCCAGCUACGUGACCGCCACGCCCUCCAUGCUCUCUUUUUGGUCUGUGAGGGUGCUCGCGAGUUGCUGGUCCAGAAUUGUUGGGGCCUUGAAGACGACAUGUUUGCGUUGGCUGGCCUAUGCAGGAGAGUGAAAUUGCUGUCCUUAGAAGGCUGCUCAUUAUUAACAACUCGAGGUGUCGAAUCUGUAGUCACCUCAUGGAAUGAUUUGCAGAGUCUACAAGUUGUCGCGUGCAACAAAAUAAAGGACGAGGAAAUGACUGGUGCACUCUCAGAGCUUUUCUCUAAUCUCAAAGAGCUGAAGUGGAGGCCCGACAACAAAUCUCUCCUGGCGGCAAGCCUAGUGGGCACUGGAAUGGGAAAGAAGGGCAGAGUAUUUUUCAAAAGGAUUUUACCGGGCCAUCAACGAGUCAAGGGCAAGGUGCUCAACUAUCCAGCGGGUGUUGCUGCUUAG
rnacentral:rRNA from 1 species